GACGAACGCUGGCGGCGUGCUUAACACAUGCAAGUCGAACGGAAAGGCCCUGCUUUUGUGGGGUGCUCGAGUGGCGAACGGGUGAGUAACACGUGAGUAACCUGCCCUUGACUUUGGGAUAACUUCAGGAAACUGGGGCUAAUACCGGAUAGGAGCUCCUGCUGCAUGGUGGGGGUUGGAAAGUUUCGGCGGUUGGGGAUGGACUCGCGGCUUAUCAGCUCGUUGGUGGGGUAGUGGCUUACCAAGGCUUUGACGGGUAGCCGGCCUGAGAGGGUGACCGGCCACAUUGGGACUGAGAUACGGCCCAGACUCCUACGGGAGGCAGCAGUGGGGAAUAUUGCACAAUGGGCGGAAGCCUGAUGCAGCAACGCCGCGUGCGGGAAGACGGCCUUCGGGUUGUAAACCGCUUUCGCCUGUGACGAAGCGUGAGUGACGGUAAUGGGUAAAGAAGCACCGGCUAACUACGUG
rnacentral:rRNA from 1 species